rnacentral:lncRNA from 1 species
GACUGUCAAUCAACAUGAUCCAUAUGAAUUAGAAAAGUAAGAAGAACCUUUGUCUCUAUAUCCAGCUGUCAAUCAACAUGAUCCAUAUGAAUUAGAAAAGCAAGAAGAAGACUGAAGCUAGUAUCUUUGACCACAUUAGUGUAUCCAUAUCAAGCACAUCAAUGUCACCCUAAUAUCGGUCACUACAAUCUCCACCAUAUAUAUAGAGCCUAUUACCAAAAUACAAAUAAUUAGAAACAAAAGAAGCCAAAGAGAUCCAACAUCGACUAUAAAGGGCAGCCCGGUGCACUAAAGCUCCUGCUAUGCACAAGGUUCGGGGAAGGGCCCCACCACAAGGGUGUAUUGUACGCAGCCUUACCUUGCAUUUCUGCCAGACGCUGUUUCUAAGACUUGAACCCGUGACCUCCUGGUCAUAUGGCGGCAACUUUAUCAGUUACUCCAAGGCUCCCCUUCAGAUCCAACAUCGACUAUAUAUACAUAAAAUCUUUUAGUUAAUGGUGCCACAUAGUAUAUGAUAUAAACAUUGUGGAAUGUUAUAAAGCUUCAUUGCCAUGACAAGUGAGGGCACCAGCUCUAUAUUUAACCACCACCACCAGGACAUUCUGGACACCAAAAGGAAAAAUCUUAUAUAGCAAUUACUUGUUCUGCACUUGUAUCCAAGAGUACAACAACAACAACAACAUACCCAGUAUAUUCCCACCAUGUGGGGUCUGGGGAGGGUAAGUGUACACAGUUCAUACCACUACCUCAAAUGUGAGAUAGAGAGGCUGUUUCCGAUAGACCCCCGGCUCAAAAUAAAACAAUCUAAGAAGAAUAGUAAUAGAACAAGAUACAAUAGAAAUCAGGACAA